UACGUAGGGUGCAAGCGUUGUCCGGAAUUAUUGGGCGUAAAGAGCUCGUAGGCGGUCUGUCGCGUCGGCUGUGAAAACCCGGGGCUCAACCCCGGGCCUGCAGUCGAUACGGGCAGACUAGAGUGCGGUAGGGGAGACUGGAAUUCCUGGUGUAGCGGUGAAAUGCGCAGAUAUCGGGAAGAACACCCGUGGCGAAGGCGGCUCUCUGGGACGGUACUGACGCUGAGACGCGAAAGCGUGGGGAGCGAACAGG
rnacentral:rRNA from 1 species